rnacentral:rRNA from 1 species
UACGUAGGGUGCGAGCGUUAAUCGGAAUUACUGGGCGUAAAGCGUGCGCAGGCGGUUUUGUAAGCCAGAUGUGAAAUCCCCGGGCUUAACCUGGGAACUGCAUUUGUGACUGGCGGGCUAGAGUAUGGCAGAGGGGGGUAGAAUUCCACGUGUAGCAGUGAAAUGCGUAGAGAUGUGGAGGAAUACCGAUGGCGAAGGCAGCCCCCUGGGCCAAUACUGACGCUCAUGCACGAAAGCGUGGGGAGCAAACAGG